AGGAUUCAGCUUUCACGUUCCUCACAUGUGGAAUAAACUCCAAGAAAACUGCAGAUCUGCUGAAACUCAGCUGCUUUAAAUCAGAGUUAAAAACUUUUCCAUUUGCCACCUUCU